rnacentral:lncRNA from 1 species
UGUCUAAAUGAUGCCUGAAAAGUACUUAUCCAAAAAAUAUAGAUUUUGGAUACAUUUUUAUCCUCGAAAGAAUGGGCCCUAAAGGUCUUAAUGGAUCAAUAAAAGCUCAAAUGAUCAUAAACAGUCAUAUUGGAUGGCUAUAAAGAUCAUCUUGAGAUCUAAUGUCUUGUCCCGAAUCUAGCAAUCGGAUCGAUAUGUGAUGGCCGUAUAUUCAGGAUAAAGUUCUAAAAAAUAUGCAAGGUCUAUUUUCAUAUUUAAAAAUAUUAUAUAAAAUUAUACUCAGAUAGUGAUAGUACAAGUAAAUUUGUAAUCUUAUUGAUUCAAAUAAGAUAUAGGUUACUAAUGUCUUAUCAUAGUUAAGAUCAAUAUUUAUUCAAAAGCAAACUAAACAAAUGUCUUUUAAAAUCCAAUGCUCCUCACUGCUUGAUCUUAAGCCUCAUAGAAUCUUAUAAAUCUAAAAUAAAAGAACAAUAAAGAGAGAGUGAGCUUUACGGACUUAGUAAAGAGAGAGAGUGAGCAAUCAAGUAUAAUUAAUUUUUAAAAUAUAAUAAUUUAAUAAUAAUAAGCAACAAUAUAAUUUUUUCUUCAAAGCAUGCCAUGCAUAUCAGUAAAAUCUAAAUAUCCUCUUUCAGUUUUUGGUGACUACGGCCACGAUCAACCCUAUGACAGGUCUGAAACAGAUCAGUCUUGAAAAAUAAACAUACAACACAUUGAUAUGUACCAGCAAUCGAAUCCGAUUGGCUAGGCCUAAAAGAAACUAGCUUUGAUUCAUACAGCCAUGAUUAGCCCUAUGACAAGGCAAAAAAAAUGGUUCUAAAUAUAAAUACAUGACACAUCAGUGUGUACAUGACACAUCAGUCCCAACUGACUAUGUCCAAAAGAACUAGCUCUGUCAGUGAUCAGUCCCGACUGACUAGGUUCGAAAGAACUAGCUUUGCCAGCGACCAGUCUCGAUUAGCUAGAUUUUGAAAAAAAUUAAUUUCUGACGUAUAGCUAACAAUCAGUUUCGUUGGCUAGAUCUGAAUCAUAGUCAACUAGAGAGUUUUUCUCGUAAUUUCACCUUAACCAAUUUCUCAUAAUUAAUCAAAUCAAGUUUUCCACAUCACAUUUCCAAAAAUAGGAGAACAACUUUAUUCAAAAUUAGUGCAAGGAUAAAUAUGUGUAAUCUUAUUUCCAAAUAUUAUGUAGUAUUAAAAUAAGUAAAUUAUCUUAUUUUAAAUUUUAUAAUCAUGCGAAGGUGACAUCAUGCUUGAUCCAUAAUUUUGAAUGACUUUUCAAAAAAUACAUAUUUCAAAACUUUAUAACUUCUACACAUUUUAAUAAUUUUUGUGUACUAAAUCUAAUUUUUAAAUAUAUUAAUAUGCACUAAAAAUUUGGAGAUAAUAGGAAACUUAUAGACAAUCGAAUCCAAAUGUGGCACGUGACUUGAUCCUUAGAUCCAGUGUGCUUCUAGCGACAAAGGCUUUAACUAAACAAAUUAACAAAGUCAUUAGCCUUUAAUUAAAGGAAAUUAAGUAAAAAGAGAAAGAUAAUCUCAAUCUGGCUCUAGUCUAGGUCAAGACUGGGUCGAUUUACAAGUUAGAUCUAUGCCAUUUAGUUUGACCUAAAUUCGGUUAGAUUGAGUCUAAUCAACAUGUUAGCUUCACAAAAAAGAUUGAUUCCCUCUUUCUCUUCCUCUCUCUCUCUUCCUCUUUCUUUCUUAUUUUUCUUUCCCUAUUUUUUUCUCUUUUUUUGUCUUUCUUAGUUGAACCUAAGAUCUCUUGGGGGCUUCCUAAGGGUCAAGAGGAGGGUGGGGGGCCAGCUAUGAAGUGGCCAAAGUGGCCAAUGGUGGUGGCAUGAUGAUGACUUGAGAUGGUGAUCCGGUCGGUGCGAUUGGAGAUCUGAAAGAAAAGAUGAAAAGGGUUACUUUCUCCAAUGCCAAGGCGAUGGUACUAAGGGAUGGAAAGAAAAGAGAGGGAAAGAGGGUUACCAGAGAUGGUGGUGGCAGUGUUGCUCGGCCAGUAGGAUGGAAUUCAGUAGAUUUUAUACCCAAAGACUCCUCGGAAUAGAGCAAUUGUUGCCCAGCUAUGCAACCCAAGAGGGGGAGAGGUGAAUUGGAUUUUUAAAAAAUUUAAAAUUAACUUACAACUAUGAGGAUUAUUUAGCAAUGAGCAAGAUAAAUGUGGAGAGUGAAAUUUAUGCAAGGUGUAGAAGUUAGAUGCAAGAAUACAAGAACAUAAAAAAAUUUAAAAGGAGAGCAAGUAAGCACAACACAAACAAAAAGAUUUAUAGUGGUUCGGUGCCAAUCUUGCACCUAUAUCCACUCCCCAAGCUUCUACUUGAGAAUUCAUAUCCACUAAACCAUAUUCAACCCGAAUAUAAUGUC